rnacentral:lncRNA from 1 species
GCUAGGCCCUGUGCUUCCCUGAUGCCCUUGGGGAUGUUGGGCUAAUGGUCAACCUGCUCUCUAGGCUAUGGCCUGCCUUAGACUCAUAACCUCAGGAACAUGAGAGCCUUGACACUCCUGGCAUAAAUGAGGAGACUCUCCCCUCUCUCCUGCCUGAAGGACAGGAAGGACUUUGGAUUCCCCCAGGAGAAGGUGGAUGCUGAGUAGAUUCUGAAGGCUCAAGCCAUGACUGACCUAACAGGUAAUGAGAAUCUUCCAAAGGACUCAUCUGCUGCCUGGUAAACAGCCCUCCUAGACUCAGUCUACAAUGACCUCCACCACAGCUCAGUGACCUGCAAGGCUGUCUGAUGCACCAGGUGGCGGUGCAGGAACCUCCCCUGACCCAGGAAGACUCCCCUGACUCCCUGCUGGCUGUGAGGAAAUACUUCCACAGGAUCCCUGUGAACCUGAGAGAAGAAACACAGCCCCUGUGCCUGGCAGGUAGGUAGAGCAGAACUCUGGAGAGCCCUGUCUUCCUCAGCCAACUUGCUGACAAAAUUGAGUCU